AACGAACGCUGGCGGCAGGCUUAACACAUGCAAGUCGAGCGCCCCGCAAGGGGAGCGGCAGACGGGUGAGUAACGCGUGGGAAUCUACCCAUCUCUACGGAAUAACGCAUGGAAACGUGUGCUAAUACCGUAUACGUCCUUCGGGAGAAAGAUUUAUCGGAGAUGGAUGAGCCCGCGUUGGAUUAGCUAGUUGGUGGGGUAAAGGCCUACCAAGGCGACGAUCCAUAGCUGGUCUGAGAGGAUGAUCAGCCACACUGGGACUGAGACACGGCCCAGACUCCUACGGGAGGCAGCAGUGGUGAAUAUUGGACAAUGGGCGCAAGCCUGAUCCAGCCAUGCCGCGUGAGUGAUGAAGGUCCUAGGGUUGUAAAGCUCUUUCACCGGUGAAGAUAAUGACGGUAACCGGAGAAGAAGCCCCGGCUAACUUCGUGCCAGCCGCCGCGGUAAGAC
rnacentral:rRNA from 1 species